rnacentral:lncRNA from 1 species
UUCCCUUUUUGUCGUUUCAAAAUAAUUUUGUUUAAAUUUAUCUUUUUAAAUAAUAUAUAGACUCUGUCUAACGUGCCUCUUGGGCACCAUACCUCCCUGUUUUGUCAUCUAGCAAAGUGCCCGUUGGAUAAAAAGGAGCAAGAUCAUGCAGGUGUGAAGUGGCCACGUGGCAGUUGAAGGAAACCGAAUGUGCUGGUCACUAGACAGGAACUGUCAAUGUUGCAAUUAUUUGUCCAAGAAAACAAGAAAAUGUUGGUGUAUAUAGCAAUAAAAUAGUUAUAUGGAACAAAACAAUUAUAUGCAAAAGCAAGUAAUAUGUGAGGGACAAAAAAAUGUACGUGUUGAACACGUUAUUUGUUGCAAGAGGCAUAUAAUGGAUCAUACUGUAACAAUGAAAAAUAUAGUGAGAUUAAUUGAUGUUAAUUAAAGUAAUAAUAAACAAAUAAUGAAAAGCUUUGUUUAUAUAUAUAUUGGACAUGAUGUUGAUUAGUGGUGUUUAAAAUGCAGUCGGAGCUAAUAAAUCCUGCAGGUUGGAAGAAACAGAGCCAAAAAAAAAAAAAAAUCUUGUUGCGAUGAAGUAGAUGGAUUGUUGAAGAGGUUGAAAGCAUAGAAAAAAAUUCAGUCGGUGGAUUGGAUGCAAGUAAAGCGGCAAUUCGGAAUUGCACUUAUUAUUAACAAUGGAAUAAUAUAGAAAGAAGAGAACUUGUAUAAGUGGCAUUAUUUGUAGUGUAUGCAUGCAUAUGUAAAUAAUGCGAAAAUAAGGUUAAAAUAACAGCACAAUAUGUAUUACAAAAAAAAAAAAAAAAGAGGAAUGAGGGAAAAGAAAUGGGCAAAAAAAAAAUUGAGAAAAUAAUGAUGUGGAACGAGAAGACAACAAAUAUUGGAAUGGAGAGAAUGAGGAAAAUUUUAAUAGGAGCAAUGGUUGAUUAGACUGUAUGAAAUUUAAGUCCAAUUUAAAGAUGUCUAGAUUGGAUUAUUAAAGAAUUUGACCGAUUUAUGGCUAGGAUUAGAAUAACAAGUGGAAAUUUAAAAAAAAAAGGUGGAGUAAAUAUGGAAUAGAGUGGAAUGGGGAAAAUCAAUUUGGGGAACAAGAGCUAUGGAAUUGAUGGUGUUUAGAACACCCAUGCAUGUGCUCUUAUAUGGCUAUCACCAAAGGCGGUGCUUCAAAUAAAUAACAAAUAUGAACGAAAUUGGGUGGUUGGUUAAGACGCAAACGACCAAAUGCACAACAUCCGUGAAAUAGGUUUGUUGAUUAAAGAAUAACCUAUUUUGGAAGCAAUAUGAUCAAAUAUAAGCCAUCAAUUUAACAGCACAGUUGAACUGCGUUUCAAUUUAAAAUGAGCAUACAUGAAGUAAAUUAAAUGGUGGUGCAAACGUAAAAUGAAAGGGAAAAAUGGAGCAGGCAGGUUGAAUAUACUAUAAACAAAUAUGUAAUAUCGAGACAAUGCUGCAACUCCAGGGAUUAUGAAGUGGAUUCAAAAUGUAAGUUGAAAUGUCGGCAUAAGAAAUAGACAACGAGAGUUGGAAACGCAUAAUGGUGAUCCUUCCACAAGAUUGUAGCAUAUUAGGAACAAUUGUGAAAUGGUUAGUAAAACACAGUUUAGGAGAUCAUAUUUUGCAAUAACUGAAUAUACAAAGCACACAAAAUGUGUAUAAAUUUGUUGGUUGGUGGAGUUCCUUUGAUGGCGGUGAUUAUAAUCGUACAGACGAAUAAGUUCAUCGUUAGCAUCGCAAGAAAGAUAAGAUGGACAAUUUUGGAGGACACAACAUAUGGUAGGUUUGAAAAAGGCAUGUUCCCUGAGAGUGACCGCUACAGGCCUGCAAUUUUGAGUAAAGAAAAAAGAGUUUAGUGAGAAUUCAAUUAUGAGUGACAGUCUAACUCACUCGCUUAUAUAAGUCCAAGAAGGAGGUCCCGCAAGUUUAUCCAACAAAUUAGCUUGCAAAAGUAAAUGUAGAUAUGAAUAGGAUGAAUGAAAUAUUUGCAGCAAUUGAGGAGGAAUUGCAAGUAAUCAUUUCAUGAGCAUCUAUCCAAUCGAACGAAUUAUCUUAUCCCGAAAAGAUUUAUCGUAAAGGUGAAAAUAUUGAGUUAUUCUAUUGUCAAAUACAUAUUAUCUACAUCAUGGUGUUGCAUCGAAUGGAAAAAAUACGGCUCCUACAAGGUACUAAACCCUAAGAAAAGUAAGGAUUGUCAACCAUGAAAAAUCACUGUCAUACUUACAAUUGCAAAUGGUUACUGUUAUAGCUUAAAGUUUUAGUAUGCAUGCAUAGCCCAUAUCAACAGGGAUACCAAAGACAAACACCAGAAAGGAGAAGGUAACAUGAAGCAAGUAUUGUUGAAACGCUUGUGAUGGAGAAAAGUGUGUGAAUUACAAUUGCGAUAUAUACUAAAAAUAACAUAAAAAUAAGUACAAGAAGUAGAGAAAAUGCAGAAAAUAUCCUAUCUUGCAGUAGGGUUGGUAAAAUCCAGAUCCGGAUACGGAUGUAGGUUUCUAAAUCCGAAUCUACAUCUGGAUCCACAAAAAAUUAUGUAGAUCUGGAUGCAGGUAAUAUUCGCAACGGAUGCGGGCAGAUAUUACGAAUAUCUGGAUCCGCAAAAAUAAAAAUUUAAUAAUUUACCUAAUAAUAUAAAAUAAUUCAACAAUUAAUAAUUCAACA